rnacentral:rRNA from 1 species
UACAGAGGGUGCAAGCGUUAAUCGGAGUUACUGGGCGUAAAGGGCGCGUAGGUGGUUGUGUAAGUUGGAUGUGAAAUCCCUGGGCUUAACCUAGGAACUGCAUACAAAACUGCAUAGCUAGAGUACUGUAGAGGGUAGUGGAAUUUCCGGUGUAGCGGUGAAAUGCGUAGAGAUCGGAAGGAACACCAGUGGCGAAGGCGGCUACCUGGACAGAUACUGACACUGAGGCGCGAGAGCGUGUGGAGCAAACAGG